ACCAAAAAACUCAUGCAUUCUUAAAGAAGUAAAAAACAAAAAAAGACCCCAAGUCUAGAAUUAUUUAGUAGAAAUAUGUCGGAUAUGAAAGAACCCACGAUUAAGCUUAUGGGAAAGACUAUUCAAUCAGCUGGUGACCAACAACGCAAGUAUAAUUCUAAGGGGGCUCAUCAUCAUCAGGUCUUCCUAUACGAAGGUGAUGAAAACGAGAUUGGAAAAAAAGCGUUGGCUAAUUUGCGAGCCAACCCUGCAGCCAUGUCAAGAUCAAUUAACUUCCACGAAAUGUCAUAGCUUGCUAUCAACUUGGAAACCUUAUUAGCUAGGUUGAUAAUUUGAGAAGCUUUUGUUGUGCGUAAUCAAAGAAAAAAUAAACUAGUCGACCUAGCUUAUUGGAAUUAAAGAAACAAAGAAAAAAAAAAGUGUAUCAAUAUAGUUAGAGAGAAAAUGGUGAUUAGUAGGUGAAAAGAUUCCAAAAGUGUUCAUAUUCUACUACUCAUUAGUGAUUAAUUAUAUGGAGUGACCUUGUUUUCUUUA